GAACUAAAGAGUUUGAUCCUGGCUCAGAUUGAACGCUGGCGGCAUGCUUUACACAUGCAAGUCGAACGGUAACAGGCCGCAAGGUGCUGACGAGUGGCGAACGGGUGAGUA
rnacentral:rRNA from 1 species